CAGCGGACAGCCUUCCGAUUGGCUUCCAGUCACUAGUGGAGUGCCUCAAGGGUCAGUGCUGGGACCCAUCCUCUUUAUCAUAUAUAUCAACAACCUAGAAUCAGGACUGAAAUCCACAAUAUCGAAAUUUGCUGACGACACCAAGGUGGGUGGAGAGGCCCUCACAAAGACCGACUGCGAAAUCAUUCAGAAAGACCUCAAUCACAUUAUAGAAUUGUCGGAAAAAUGUCAAAUGUCUUCUAAUGUUGACAAAUGCAAAGUCAUGCACAUUGGGUCCCAAAAUAGUAACCACACAUACAUCAUGAAUGGGAGACCUCUGCAAGCAAUGCAGGAGGAAAAGGAUCUUGGAGUCACUAUCAGCAGUGACCUGAAACACGCGAAUCACUGUAAAAAAGCAUACAACAAGGCCAACAUUAUGCUCGGGUUCAUAGCGAGGAACUUCGAGUGCAAAACGCCAGACGUGAUGCUAUCCUUGUAUAAUUCCAUGGUAAGACCGCACCUCGAGUAUGCAGUACAAUUCUGGUCUCCCAAUUACAGAAAGGACAUUGCUUUACUGGAAAGGAUUCAACGACGCGCCACAAAGAUGAUUUCAACCUUAAGGGCUCAACCGUACGAGGAACGACUCAAGCGACUCAAUCUCUUUACAUUGGAGAAAAGACGCCUACGAGGGGAUAUGAUUCAAGUCUUCAAGUAUCUGAAAAAGUUCAAUAACGUCCAUUACUCCAAAUUCUUUGAACUGCAAACCAACCUAAAAACUAGUAAUAACGGUUUACCCAUUCAGUCGAGUCGAUGUAACACAGACAUUGGAAGGAAUUUCUUUUCAAAUCGAGUCAUCCGCCACUGGAACAAUCUUCCCUCAGAAGUAGUAAACUUCAAAUAUAAAAUCGACUGUCACUUCGCUGCGUCGGGAAUAAACUGAAUAUUGAGGUGCUGUCAUCUGCUCCUCAAUAUUGAGGUGCUGUCAUCUGCUCCUCAAUAUUGAGGUGCUUUCAUCUGCUCCUUAAUAUCGAGGUGCUUUCAUCUGCUCCUCAAUAUCGAGGUGCUUUCAUCUACUCCCCAGUAUCGAGGUGCUGUCAUCUGCUCCCCAAUAUCGAGGUGCUUUCAUCUGCUCCCCAAUAUCGAGGUGCUUUCAUCUGCUCCCCAAUAUCGAGGUGCUUUCAUCUGCUCCCCAAUAUCGAGGUGCUGUCAUCUGCUCCCCAAUAUCGAGGUGCUUUCAUCUGCUCCCCAAUAUCGAGGUGCUGUCAUCUGCUCCCCAAUAUCGAGGUGCUUUCAUCUGCUCCCCAAUAUCGAGGUGCUUUCAUCUGCUCCCCAAUAUCGAGGUGCUUUCAUCUGCUCCCCAAUAUCGAGGUGCUGUCAUCUGCUCCCCAAUAUCGAGGUGCUGUCAUCUGCUCCCCAAUAUCGAGGUGCUGUCAUCUGCUCCCCAAUAUCGAGGUGCUGUCAUCUGCUCCCCAAUAUCGAGGUGCUGUCAUCUGCUCCCCAAUAUCGAGGUGCUGUCAUCUGCUCCCCAAUAUCGAGGUGCUUUCAUCUGCUCCUCAAUAUCGAGGUGCUGUCAUCUGCUCCCCAAUAUCGAGGUGCUUUCAUCUGCUCCCCAAUAUCGAGGUGCUUUCAUCUGCUCCCCAAUAUUGAGGUGCUUUCAUCUGCUCCCCAGGCCCCAAGUGGCUGUCGAGCAGAUUAAAUCACCCAAGCGGGUGACCUCGUAAUGAGCCAAUAGGGUUUCUGUUGCCUGCACUUCCAUGUUUCCUUUUCUCUCCUUUUUUCUUCCCCUACUUUCUCUCCCUUCAUUCCCUCUCUCUUAUCUCCCUCUUUCUCCUCCUCCUCCUCCUCCUCCCUCUUUCUUCCUGUCUUUCCCAGUUCCUGUUAUUUAUUCCCUAAUGUUUCUUUCUCUCCCUUCUCAUUCUUCCCUUCUCCCUUUCCUUCUUUCUCUCCCUUCCUUUCCCUCACGCUCCCUUUCUCUCCCCUCUUUCUGUUUCCUCCCUUCUUUCCCUUUCUUUCUUUCUUCCCUCACCUCUAUAGUCAUUUUCUCUGUCCCUCCCUCCCUCCCUCCCCAUUCUACUGGUUUUUGGGAUCUAAAAAUACAGUUUGAUAGGUAUUACAUUAUCAAUAGCAUCAUCUUGUUGCAUAAAAAAGAACUAGUACACUUUUUUGGGGAAAUAAUAGACAUUUUCUCUUCCUGUUAUUCAGCCCUCACUAUGAUGCCCUUAAGGCGUUCAAGUCCUAGGCAGGAGGAAAUAGCCAAGGCCUCCCAGCUGUUGAUAAGUGUGCUGGGAUAUGUUACAAGAGUGAGGGUAGCAUGGCAGGGAAGGACUUAGCCAUGUUACAGCAGGGCUCAGGCUCAGGGUUUUAAUGGUGCUGUUUUGACGUGAACAGAAUGUACUAUUGUUAUGGCACCAAGGAUCAAUGUUUACACAGUCCAUUAAUUCCUAACCUGAUUUGUUGCAGGAGGAGGAGGGUGGUACACAGGAGUGACUGGUGAGUGUUCAUUUAUCAUUAAUUUCCUUGUUCCUUCUUGUGUUCAGUUUAUUCCUACAAUAGUUUCUUUUGUGAUAAAUUCUUUGCCUUCUUUUUUUCCCAUGUACACCUCCGUCUUCUUCCUGUCACAUUACACGCUACAUUUUUUUUCCAUGUACAGCUCCGUCUUCUUCCUGUUACUUUCCACACUCCUCCGUCUGUCCCCCUCGUCUGGUAUUGUUUCAGUGAACAUUCCUUUUGUUUGUAGUGUGUGUGUGUGUGUGUGUGUGUGUGUGUGUGAGGUGGUGUGGCGUGGUGUGGGUCAGGUCACCUCCCCUAAGGGACAGGCAGGCCACACCAAGCACUGGCUCAGGAAACACAGGAAAACUCACUCCACACUUACCAGAACAGUACAACACACAAACAAAAGAUUAUUCUCACUAUAUAAUUAUUAUAGUCCGUUUCAUUCCCAGACCAGCACAGCUCACCUGAAAAAAUAUACAUAUACUUUCAAUUCUAGCAAACACCUUAACCACUCAAAAAAAGCAGAGACAAAGUAAUUAUGGUCUUAGGAACGUUACAUAGUGCCAUUGUCUCUUAUUAUGAUGGAAAGAGGAAUGAUAUGUGAAGAGAUCCAAGGUGUUGCUGUGUUGAAGGCACACACAGGCUGCCUGGCCCACUCCUCUUAAAAACACGCUUGCCAUUCUCUGGAAUGAUGGAGUUGGCUUCUCUUACUCUCAAAGUUAAAUUUCAAGUUAAAAACACAAUUUAUAAGCAUUUAAAUGUAAAUUUGAUAGUAUCGUUUGCGUUUACUACACCUCCGAGGCCAUAUGACCGUUUCCCAAUGCCACAAAGUAGAUGAACUGGGUUUUGAUGGGUGGUUCUCCAUUUCUUGGCACCGAGGUCAUGUAAAACUAUCACCACCAUCACAAGACAGUUCAUGGUCCAUAUUUAUAAGCGUCUCUAGCUCCUAUAUAACUAUUUUCAAGGCCACAGAAUAGAUUAUCCAGAUUUUCAUGUGUGACUCUCCAUUUCUUGGCACCGAGGCUGUGUAAAACCAUCACCACCAUCACAAAACAGUCCCGGCAAGUUCUAGGAGAGGCUUUUCAAACAUCCAUAUUAUAACUGUUAAAAAUACCUUAAAUUCACUGAGAAAUAAUGCAUACCAAAGACCAGGUUAUAAAUGUUUGUACCCUUUUUUUAUUCCAUACCCAGAGGCAGGAGACUGUCAGUAGCAGGAGGGAGGGAGUUGACGACACAAAGAGCCUUGUGUGUGUUUGUGUGUGUGUGUGUGUGUGUGUGUGUGUGUGUGUGUGUGUGUGUGUGUGUGUGUGUGUGUGUGUAUUUACCUAGUUGUGAAAUACAGGAAAAGAACCAUACUAGGCUCGUGCUGUCCCGUCUCCAUAACGCUUAUUAUCCAGUUUGGCUUUAAAUUCAUGAAUUGUUUUUCCACACACAGUCUCCUUGUCAGUCCGUUCCAUGUUGUUAUGCUUCUGUAUGGAAUCCUGUAUAUCUUGAUGUCUCUCCUACAGUCGCUCUUCUUCAAUUUCUUACCAUUGCCUCUUGUCACACUUCUGUCACGUUCCACUAGGUCUUCCCUGUCCAAUUUCUCCAAUCCCUCUUGUAUCCUGUACAAUGCUAUUAGGUCCCCUCUCUCUCUUCUGCUCUCCAGUGUUGUUAGUCCUAAUUUCUCCAGUCUUUCUUCUUAAGUAUGUUCUCUCAGUUUCCGGUAAUUUAGUCGCUGCUCUUUGUAUUCUUUCCAACUUUCUAAUUUCAUUCUUCAAUCUAGGUGACCACACUAAUGCUGCAUAUUCCAGUCUUGGACGUAUCAUCGAUGUUAUCAGUUUCUUCACCAUUUCUUCGUCUAAAUAUGUAAAUGCUACUUUAAUGUUUCUAAGAAGAUUGUAUGUUUCCCCAGAUAUCCGGUCUAUGUGUUUUCCAAAGGAUAACUUGUCUGUUAGGAUUACUCCCAGAUCUUUUUCUUCAUUUUUUUUCAUGAUUCUUUCAUUACUCAGAGAGUAGUUCCCUGAUAUUCGUCUAUUGCUCCUACCAAACUCCAUCACGCUACACUUCUCUGUAUUGAAUGUUAUUUCCCAUUUGUGUGACCAUUCUAUCGAAAUCUUGGCUUCAUUAGCCACCCUCCUCAUUAUUUUAGCAUCAUCAGCAAACAUAUUCAUAUAGCUUGUCACCCCUUCUGUCAUGUCAUUAAUAUAAGUUACAAACAUAAUCGGAGCCAGCACCGAUCCUUGAGGGACUCCACUCGUCACUUCCAUCCAGCUUGAUUUAUUGUUCCUGAUUACUGUUCUCUCUUCGUCAAAAAGUCCACAAUCCAAUCCAAUAUUGAACCACCCAGACCUCCAACAUGAUUAAGUUUCCAUAUUAAUCAAUUGUGUGGUACUUUAUCAAACGCCUUCUUUAAGUCCAGGUACACACAAUCUGCCCAACCAUCUCUUUCCUGUACUAUAUCAAUUACUCUUGAAUAGAAGCUGAUCAGAUUAGUUACACAAGACCGUCCUCCUCUGAAUCCGAAUUGGCUAUUUGUUAAUAUACUGUAUUCUUCUAAAUACUCCACCCAUCUGUUUUUUUAUAAUUUUCUCACACAUCUUUGCUACUACACUUGUUAAUGACACUGGCCUAUAGUUCAACGGGUCUUCCUUACUUCCUCCUUUAUGUAUUGGGACGAUGUUAGACCUCUUCCAGUCUCUCGGUACCUUCCCUUGUGCUAAUGAGACAUUAAUAAAGUGUGUGUGUGUGUGUGUGUGUGUGUGUGUGUGUUUGUGUGUGUGUGUGUGUGGUUUCAAUGGGUUCAUGUACAUUUUUUUUA